rnacentral:piRNA from 1 species
UAUCUCCUCAAUUUUUUCUAG